rnacentral:lncRNA from 1 species
CUUUACUUGUCAGUUGUCACAAAUGACGAAAAACAUUAAAAAUAUAGUCAAUGGAAAAAUUUGAUUCGUAUAGUGAUUAAUAGCUACUGAUAAUCAAGUUAUAACAAACAAACUUCAACAUUAACCAAAAAAAAACAAGGGUGAAAUAUAUUAAUAGGAUUUUUAAUCCUAAGUUUGGUGUGUUGAAGGAAAACUCAAAAGCAAUGGAACAAGAAACUGAAAAAGCGGACAAGGAGAUUACAACAGUUUUGCCGACGGCUCAAGAUGUGGUCGGAGACAACAGUGAUACUGGUCAGAGAGUAAAGGAAGAGGUGAAGAAGCAGUUUUGGCUCUCUGCUCCACUCAUCGGCGUGAGCCUCCUCCAAUACUCUCUCCAAGUCAUCUCCGUCAUAUGACCAUCUCGGCUUACUUCCUGUUGGAAUUCAUAGCGGUUUAUAACAAUUUAUAAAGCUAGUUAUGAAUUCAUAUGCCUAGAAUUUCAUGUCAAUAUCGAAAUAAACUUAGAUCUUAGUGUUUCAAAUAAGUUUAAUUUAUUUUAAUAUCUAAUCAUAUUAGAAAUUUAAACAAAUAAAUUGAAAUGAUCAAAUCAAAUCAAUCACACUAACCAAAUAAACCAGAGAAUUGGUUUAACCGGUUUAAAGGGUUACAUAGAAUCAUACUCCUUCCGUAUCUGAAUAAAUGUCGUUGUAGAGAAUUUUUUUCAUUACAAAAUAAAUGUCGUUUUCGAUUUUCAAUGCAAAAUUUAUUAGUGUUAUUCAGUAAUUUAUUUUUCUACUGGUUGAAAUAUGGUUCGGUGUAUUGGUAAUUGUGUUUUUAUAUAGGAAAUGUACAAAAUUAAUUGUUUCCUUAAUCCGUGCACAGACCCAAAACGACACUUAAUAUGAAGCAGAGAAAAUACAAUUUUGUUACAAUAACACACAUCGUCUAACAAACGGUUUAACCGCUUUAGGUGACGAUCAUACAAUCACAUGAUUCCAUGAUACAUAUAAUUUUAUUUAAAAAAUCAGGUCACCAAGAGUUACGAUAACAUUACUGAUGACUUUUAAAUUAUAUGUAUGCGUAAACAACUUAUAUAUUUACUUUUUGUAUAUAGCACACGAUCACCUCAUUAAUUAAAUAUGCAUGAACUUGGCAGUUUUACAUGAGCGUGAGACAAAAACGCAUAUUACACAAAGUACAUAUUAUUUGUGCUAUCAUGAUCAGUCAUAGUUCUCUUCUAUUCUUUACUUAUAUGUGAUAUUGAUCUUUCCUAAACAAUCAAUAUUUAUUAACAUAUAAAAUAGCACACAUCUUUAUCCAAUAAAGACAAAUAUAUGGUUUAGAAAUCGAUCGAUGAUACCGUAAUCAAAUUAGGGUUCUUCUUAACGUGUCAAACACAUCGAUUUCAAACCAUCAAAUUUCUCUAGUUGUUAAUCUAUACCAAAUUAUAAAUUAAACAAGAUCUGAUUUUAAUAUUAAACAUAUAGGCUCUGAUACCAAUGUUGGAAAUCAAAGCGGUUUAUAACAAUUUGUAAAUCUAGUUAUGAAUUCAUAUGCCUAGAAUCUCAUGUCAACAUUAAAAUAAACUUAGAUCUUAGUGUUUCAAAUAUACCUGGAAGUUUUGCAGCGGAAAGACAAACAAACCAAAUCGAGAUUUAAAGCACUCCAAACGUUAUGCCUCUACCGGUAUCCACACGCACACAAACUGGAUUGAUUCGGGAUGCUAGUGCCGUCGAGAUCAAAUCUCGAAACCUUGAUGAACUCAUUGUUGCUUGCGUAAGAAGAAAACAAUUUUUUUCUUCACACCUUUACGUCUCGGUUGUAAAGUGCGGCCAGCCAUCUUCAUUA